UACGGAGGAUGCGAGCGUUAUCCGGAUUUAUUGGGUUUAAAGGGUGCGUAGGCGGAUUGAUAAGUUAGAGGUGAAAUGUCCGAGCUCAACUCGGGAACUGCCUCUAAUACUGUUGAUCUAGAGAGUAGAUGCGGUAGGCGGAAUGUAUGGUGUAGCGGUGGAAUGCUUAGAGAUCAUACAGAACACCGAUUGCGAAGGCAGCUUACCAAUCUAUAUCUGACGUUGAGGCACGAAAGCGUGGGGAGCAAACAGG
rnacentral:rRNA from 1 species